rnacentral:rRNA from 1 species
GUGGGGAAUAUUGGACAAUGGGCGAAAGCCUGAUCCAGCCAUGCCGCGUGUGUGAAGAAGGUCUUCGGAUUGUAAAGCACUUUAAGUUGGGAGGAAGGGCAGUAAGUUAAUACCUUGCUGUUUUGACGUUACCGACAGAAUAAGCACCGGCUAACUUCGUGCCAGCAGCCGCGGUAAUACGAAGGGUGCAAGCGUUAAUCGGAAUUACUGGGCGUAAAGCGCGCGUAGGUGGUUUUGUAAGUUGGAGGUGAAAUCCCCGGGCUCAACCUGGGAACUGCAUCAAAAACUGCAUAACUAGAGUACGGUAGAGGGUAGUGGAAUUUCCUGUGUAGCGGUGAAAUGCGUAGAUAUAGGAAGGAACACCAGUGGCGAAGGCGACUACCUGGACUGAUACUGACACUGAGGUGCGAAAGCGUGGGGAGCAAACAGGAUUAGAAACCCGGGUAGUCC